GUGCAGUAUGUGUGUGUGUAAGGGUGCGGUGUGUGUGUGAGGGGUGCGGUGUGUGUGAGUGCCGUGUGAGAGUGCCGUGUGUGAGUGAUGGGUGUGAGAGUGCCGUGUGUGAGAGUGCUGUGUGAGAUGGGUGUGAGAGAGUGCUCUGUGAGAGUGCUGUGAGUGUGAUGGGUGUGAGAGUGCUGUGAGUGUGAUGGGUGUGAGAGUGCUGUGAGAGAGUGCUGUGUGUGUG